GGGAGCUCAGUGCUAAGGCGUUUCUUUGGGUUUCAUGAAUCACUGAUCUAUUCAGCCGCUUGGACACAUACCUUCCGUUUCUUCUGGGUUCUGGGGCCCCUGUUAAAGUGUUAAAGGGUUGAGCCAUGCUAAACUGGACCACAUCCCUCUUAAUGGUUCUGGCUCGGCUCCUGAGUUCUCCUGCACUGGGGAAACCUCUGCCUACUGAGAAAGAAACUCCAGAUGUCUACCAGGCAGAAGAACACUCCAAUGUCACAUUGACAUGGCUCCUUCCUGUAAAUACCACGGCCAACUCGCUGUACAUGGAUCUGAUGACCCUGGAGCCACUGAGGAGUAUUUAUCUGUAUGACAGCAGAUUUAAAACUGAGCCGUACAUAAAUGAUCAGUUCAAAGAUCGACUACAGUGUAAUCGACAGCAGGUCAGGAAUGGACAAAUCCAAUGUUACCUAAAGGACCUCAGGCUCAACGAUACAGGAAGCUAUCAGUUGAUCGUUAGAGCUGAUGGAAAAGGUGCCCUGAGAAGAAAUCAACUGAUAGUAACAGCCUCUAAACCUCAGAUCUCAGGGGAUCUCCAAAGCCAAAAUAACAGGGACCGUUUGGAGUUGAUGUUAUUUUUUGUUUAUUUUUGGUAAUAAAGGAUUUAUUCUCCUAAA